GUAAUUUCGCGUAUUCUGUGCAUCGGUUUUAUUCUUUUUAUCUUUUUUUCUUCUUUUUUUUUCGUCGCCUUGAAUAGCACGAGUAAUCUGUAUGAUGCUUCUUCGAUUUCUUGUUACGUGAUAGAUUUGAUCUCGUAAUGAUUAACCGUUGCAGAACCAUUGUAAGACGAGUAUAACGCAAAAAGGUGCAAUGGAUUUUUAUUAGUCUUCGUUUCCUGCGGCAGACAUGAACAUAUCUACAUGGCAGUAUGCCACGAAACAAGAGAAAGGUAUCGAUCAAGCGCAACUGCCUAACGAGACUGUACACGCAAGUAUGGACGAAUCAUGCAGCUGUCUAUAGCCUGUAGAGUCAGCUGAGAGAAGAUGAGACGAUCAGCUCCGUUAAAAAAAUCUGACGUUCUUCAAAUAUUUGAAACGCCUCCACUUCCGGAGCAAACGCAUACCUACGCUGCGUAAUCCAUCAUUUGGAAGAAAGAAGUUAUUAAUACACAGUUUUCAAUAUGAAAACUGUAACUUAAAAAUUAUGAUUCUGAUGAAAGUAAACUACUAUAUAUGUGUAAACGAUAACUCUCUUGAACUACUUACGGUAUCAAAUUCCACCGGAAAACUUAUAUGAAAAUGAAAAACGACGCAAUAGUAUCCAGCCUAACAAAGUGAUUUUAUUAUCCGCGAGGUAUAAUCACGGUACAGAAAAAAAGGAUCUCUGUGUUCCGGGAUCGAAUUCCGUCUGAAUACGCCCCUGUUCGCAGGCGUAUUAGCUGUAAUGCUAAACGCAGACACCUCGAGGCAUGACGUAGCGCCCCAUAGAAACGGCUACGUGCCAUAGUGUCAUAAUGCGCGUCCUUUGAAGCCACUUUUCGAGUUGCGUAAUCACAUUUAAUAACGACAGCCUGGCGAUUACCGCUGCAUCUCGACUCACCAGCCACGAUUUUACCUGAUUUUACCAUACGACGCCUUAAGGCUUAAGGGAUGUCGGGAAGGUAAAUCUUUACUGCUUCAACGUCGAAUUAAAUAAUCAUAAAUUGCUAUGAAAAAGCACGUUUUUAAAUAUGCUGACCGAUGACAGUAACUCACUGACGGGAUGAGCAGUAAGCGAAUUCGUAGUAACGAUUAAACAAACGAGCAAUUAAUGAAACGAGCAAUGAAAUUUUUGAGAAUCACAAUUAUUUUGGAAAAAGAUAAUUUUGCUUCAAUAAAAUUAUCUGCACUUUUAACCGCGAUUGAACUAGUAUCAUCAGCGAAGUUUUACAAGUGACAAGGUAUAAAUUAGCAAUGCUGAUAAAUUUGCUUAUGUAAUAGUAACUUUCGUAAUAAAAUAUGUAAAAUUCUACGAAUGAAUUUUACGAAUUGCAAGUUGAUUGCCGACGUAAAAUUGCCGUACAAUCGACGAUAGAAUGGCGAUAGAAGAAAAAAUUAACAAUUUUAGAGAUAAAACUUUCAAUAACUUUAGUCUAAGCGUAGGACGGUGUGUAAAUGUGAAGAGAUAAAACGAGAGGAGAAGAACAUCAAUAAAACCAACACAAAUUGUUGCAAAUUUGUAUCAACAGAAUUCGUUAUUUUUAUUCGAUAACGUUAAAAAAUCGAUAUAUAAUACUGUUAUGUAAUGUCCAACGCAGAAAUGCGAUGCAGCAUGGUGAUAAUUAAUUACUCAAACGAUUUUUACGAUAUCCACGCAAUGUUUCAUCAUACGCGUGGAAAUAGAGGUUGACCUAUACCAGUAAUUUCACUUAUUAGCUAAUUCACUAAUUUCACCACUUUUAGUACACGACUUCGUAAAUCCGCCAAACUGGACGAGCCAGAACAUCUCACUUUCUUUUCCAAUUGUCGGCUCAAGGAUUCCAUACCACAUACUUAUGAUGCAAUUCUUGUCAUCGUUUCAUAGUUUUUAACCAAAAUUGUCUUAUUUAACUUAAUUUUCUUAUUAACCUUGAUUAUAUGGUAAGGAACAACUUCAGGAUACGGAUGAGGCAAAUUCAGACUCGGCAGAGAUAAGAAGGAUAUGUAAAGUUAGUGAAAGUACGAGAAGACGCCUCGUGCUUAUUAACGUAAUUUAUUUCUCCGUGGGACCGAGAAUACUUUCAUAAUUUUUAAUUUUCAUAAUAUCUUACGAUCAUUGGUCAUUCAUUGGAGGUUCCAAUGUUCAGAAAAUAAAUAUAUGAAAAACGAAAAAAAAGAAAGCGUCAUGUACCUAUCAUAUUUUCUUGUUCCUUUCUCCUUCUCUUUUAAUAUACAUAUAUUUGGUUGCAUUGUAGUAUAUUAGUAUCAUAUGAUAUAUAUUAGUAUAAUAUUUAGUUUACAGAAGACGAGAUCCUAUAUCUUAGUGUUACGCGUUUCCUUAACUAGAAGUAAUAAAGAACAAAAGAAUUCUAGAGCUUCUU